rnacentral:rRNA from 1 species
ACCGCAUAGUUCCUUGAACCGCACGGUUCAAGGAUGAAAGACGGUUUCGGCUGUCACUUACACAUAAACCCGCGGCGCACUAUCUAGUUGGUGGGGUAAUGGCUCACCAAGGCGACAAUACGUAGCCCACCUGAGAGGGUGAUCGGCCACACUGGGACUGAGACACGCCCCAUACUCCUACGGGAGGCACCACUAGGGAAUCUUCCGCACUGGACAAAAGUCUGACAGAGCAACGCCCCGUGAGUGAUGAAGGUUUUCUGAUCCCAAACCUCUCUUGUUAGGGAAGAACAAGUGCGAGAGUAACUGCUCGCACCUUGACGGUACCUAACCCCAAAACCCCGGCUAACUACAUGCCACCACCCGCCGUAAUACGUACUUGCCAAUCUUUUUCCGGAAUUAUUGGGCCUAAACGGCUCGCAGGCGGUUUCUUAAUUCUCAUGUGAAACCCCCCCGCUCAACCGCGCACCGUCAUUGGAAACUUGGAAAACUUGAGUCCCCACAAUAGAGAGUGGAAAUUCCCCCCUGUCACCU